rnacentral:sRNA from 1 species
GAAGGAGAUAAAUUUAACUUGGUGUGAGUUCUGUCUCUAGAAGAUGUGUGGUCUUUGAGCUUGAACUUCCAUAUAUUCAAAAAAAAA